rnacentral:rRNA from 2 species
UACGCUGGCGGCGUGCCUAAUACAUGCAAGUCGAACGAGUUCUCGUUGUUGAUCGGUGCUUGCACCGAGAUUCAACAUGGCACGAGUGGCGGACGGGUGAGUAACACGUGCGCGUAACCUGCCCUGUAAGCUGGGCGGUAUAACAUUUGGAAACAGAUGCUAAUACUCGCAUAGAUCCAAGAACCGCAAGGCUCUUGGCUGAAAGAUGGCGUAAGCUAUCGCUUUUGGAUGGACCCGCGGCGUAUUACCUAGUUGGUGCGGUCAUGGCUCACCAAGGCGAUGAUACGUAGCCUAACUGAGAGGUUGAUCGGCCACAUUGGGACUGAGACACGGCCCAAACUCCUACGGGAGGCAGCACUAGGGAAUCUUCCACAAUGGACGCAAGUCUGAUGGAGCAACGCCUCGUGAGUGAAGAAGGCUUUCGGGUCGUAAAACUCUGUUGUUGGAUAAGAAUGGUCGGCAGAGUAACUGUUGUCGGCGUGACGGUAUCCAACCAGAAAGCCACGGCUAACUACG